rnacentral:rRNA from 1 species
UACGAAGGGGGCUAGCGUUGCUCGGAAUGACUGGGCGUAAAGGGCGCGUAGGCGGUUUGGACAGUCAGAUGUGAAAUUCCUGGGCUCAACCUGGGGGGCUGCAUUUGAUACGUUCGGACUAGAGUGGGGAAGAGGGUCGUGGAAUUCCCAGUGUAGAGGUGAAAUUCGUAGAUAUUGGGAAGAACACCGGUGGCGAAGGCGGCGACCUGGUCCUUGACUGACGCUGAGGCGCGAAAGCGUGGGGAGCAAACAGG